CAGAAAAAUGGAAAUCCUACGGCAAACGGAGGCAAGAAAGAAACAAGAGAUCUCGACUGGUACGUAAAGGCAAGACACGGUGUACCAACAGUCUAUUUUCACGCUUGGAAUGGAGAAAAAAAAGACAUCAGCUUAAGUGGCACCUACACGCUUCUUGCAGCCGAAUCUACUUGUUUUGUGAUUGGGACGCUACUAGCGCAAAAAGGUAAUUUUU